rfam:Cavia porcellus supercont2_50 genomic scaffold, whole genome shotgun sequence.
GGGCAUUUAGCUCAGUGGCAUAAGCACCUGCCUUGCAAGCAGGUGGUUAUGAGUUCGAUCCUGGUACCG